GACGAACGCUGGCGGCGUGCCUAAUACAUGCAAGUAGAACGCUGAAGAGAGGAGCUUGCUCUUCUUGGAUGAGUUGCGAACGGGUGAGUAACGCGUAGGUAACCUGCCUUGUAGCGGGGGAUCACUAUUGGAAACGAUAGCUAAUACCGCAUAACAAUGGAUGACACAUGUCAGUUAUUUGAAAGGGGCAAUUGCUCCACUACAAGAUGGACCUGCGUUGUAUUAGCUAGUAGGUGAGGUAAUGGCUCACCUAGGCGAGGAUACAUAGCCGACCUGAGAGGGUGAUCGGCCACCCUGGGACUGAGACACGGCCCAGACUCCUACGGGAGGCAGCAGUAGGGAAUCGUCGGCAAUGGGGGCAACCCUGACCGAGCAACGCCGCGUGAGUGAAGAAGGGUUUCGGAUCGUAAAGCUCUGUUGUAAGUCAAGAACGGGUGUGAGAGUGGAAAGUUCACACUGUGACGGUAGCUUACCAGAAAGGGACGGCUAACUACGUG
rnacentral:rRNA from 1 species